AAACCACUUAGGGGUUAAGCCCGAUGAACCUGAAUAUCUGAAAUAAGAAAUUCAAUAUUAUUAUAGUCAAUAGUAUAUAUUGAUCGAUAAUGGUAUGCACUUUUCUUAUAGUAAGACAUUGCGAUUCAUUGACUAUAUAUUAUAAUUAUUAUAAUAUUUUAUGAUAAGACUCAUUAAAUUGUUUUAUUUUUUACACUUAUUCAUUUAAAUGUAAAAUAAAGUUUAGUGAUGCUCGCAUAAAAAGUUGAUGAACUUUAAUAAAUUAUAUUAUUUACAUAAAAUAUGUAUCACAAUUAUAUAUUUGAAUAAAAUAUGUAUUGUAUAUAUGUGAUAUGAAUAUAAUUUGAUCUGCAAUGCGUAUGAUUUAGGAAACCUUCGGGACCCGUCUUGAAACACGGACCAAGAAGUCUAACAUGUGUGCAAGUCAUUAGGAUUUGCUUAUAUUUUUAAUAUAAGUAAUUAUAUAAACCUAAAGGCGUAAUUAACAUAACUAUAUAUUAUGGGAUUACAAGUAAUUUAAAAUAUUAUUUUUCCAUCUCAGGGCGUUUUAUAUUGAACAUGAUAAUUUUAUAAUUGUCCUCUGUUCAAAAGCGUACCUUGAGCAUACAUGCUGU
rnacentral:rRNA from 1 species